CUCUUCUUUCUCUUUCUUCUUCCUCUUCUCUCUCCCAUUUCUCCAGCCCCUCCACCCAGCACACCCAGCUCUGCCCAAGUCCCUGUGCUGGUGCAGACAAGGACCUGAAGCCAGGUCCUGGCAGCUGUACUGAGCUGAUGCUGUGCCACUGCACCUUCCAAGGGGACACUGCCCUCUGGGGACAUCUGUCUGUCUGUCUGUCCUUUCAAGCUUUGGGCUGGUUAAAGGGGAGAGCUGAGUCACCCCCACACUGCAUCAAUUUUGGGGGCUCAGUUUGGCUUUCUGGUACCUCACAAAUUCUGGUAUCUCACAAAAUUCAACAAAAAUUCACCCCAAAAUACGACCCUGAGGGACUCCCUCAGGUUUAUUUGGAGCAUGGCCACCAGCAGAACAUUCCAGAGGCAGGGUGUGCCUGCAGGACCCAUAUCCCUGCAGGUUCCAUGUCCCUGCAGGAUCCCAUGGAGAGGGCACCAUGGUGGUGUUGGGGUGGCACAGGCUCUUACCCUUCAAAUGCCAAUUUCUUGUGGGGUUGGGGAGGGGGGGGAAAGGAGAAACCAAAUCCCCACUGACACAGAAUGUACUUGAUGGAUUUGUUGCAAUGUCUGGAAUUGGGAGGCCUGAGCCCCCCAGGUGUGGGGUCAGACCCACAGGAAAAGGAUCCACCCCGUGGGGCAGCUCAGGGCCCUGCUCCUGCCCUGCCUGGUGUAAAUCAGCAGGAAUUGCACACAGGGGGUGAAUGCUGUGGGUUUCAGCAGGCAGGACAGGAGGGGCAGCUCCAGGCCCCUCAGAGCUGCUGUUCUGGGACAGCUCCUGGUCCCAAACACUGCUGGGAACCCAGAGUGAGCCCUGCUCACCCCUGGGGCUGCUCUGGGUCACACCAGGGCCAGCACAGGCUGGGCUGGGCCCAGGGCAGUCCCUCAAUGCACUACAUGAGAUGAAUGCACCUUCCAGAGGAUGGUCCCACCCCAGCUGGGGCUGGGGGAGGGCACAAGGAGGUGACAGCUGUGCUGGGGACAUUUCCAUGGCCAUCUGUCCCACUGGCAGCACCCUGGGACAGAUAACUCCUGCAGCAGUGAGGGGGAGCACAGGGAAGGGAAAAGGGACAUGGCAGUGCCCAGGGAUGGGGAAAAGGGACGUGGCAGUGCCCAGGGAUGGGGAAAAGGGACAUGGCAGUGCCCAGGGAAGGGGAGCAGGGAUGUGGCAGUGCCCAGGGAUGUGGCAGUGCCAGGGAAGGGGAGCAGGGAUGUGGCAGUGCCCAGGAAUGGGAGCAGGGAUGUGGCAGUGCCCAGAGAUGUGACAGUGCCCAGGGAAUGGGAGCAGGGAUGUUGCAGUGCCCAGGAAUGGGAGCAGGGAUGUGGCAGUGCCCAGGAAGGGCAGCAUGGAUGCUAGCAGUACCCAGGGUUCUGUUUGGAGCAGGGGGAAGGAGGGAGGGAUGGAGGCUGAGCUCUGCUGUGACAUACCAGAGGGGAGGGAGCAGAAUUUGGAGUUGUGGGUGAUCACAGAGCCCAGGGAUGGUGUCUGAGCUGGGGGUACCUGCAAGGGAUUCCCAGUGGAUGGAAGGAGCCUGGGCCCUGCUGCCAUCAAGGAAAGCCAGGGGUUGAUCAGGUUCUGCCUGGGGAAAGAGCCAGAUCCCUGUUUCCCCGUGGUGGGAGAGGCUGUGGGUGCUUUCCCUGCACACCCAUCACCUGCAGGGAUCACACAUCGUUAGCAGGGCUCCCAUCCCGUGUCCUGAUUGUGGAUGAGCCCUCCCUGGCAGGGGUUUGGAAUGGGAUGAGAUUCCAGGGCCCUUCCAACCCAAACCAUUCCAGAAUUCCCUGCUGCCAGAGGAGGUGGAGAAGUGACCAUGCAGUGACCGUCAGCAGGGGCUGGAUCCAUCCAGAGCAGAGACCCGGGGUUAUUAAAGCCAGGCAGCUCUGGGGAAUGCAGAGGGGCUGAUCCUGGGGAGGGGCUGGGCACAGCUUGGGGAUGUCAGAGGAGCUGUGCUGUGAGCUUGCCUCGGCUCAAAGGCAGCUGCUCCAUCACACACAAGUGACAAUGACAGGCCCUAAAUGAGUCUGGGGUGGUGUCUGCCCGCACAAACCCCGUCAGACUUGUUUGGCUUUGUGUGGCAGCAACAGGGGCUCAGUCAGCUCGGCAGGGUUUGUGCUGAGCAGUGGAACACCCCGGGCCUGAGUCAGCCCUUCCCUGGCAGGGUCACCUCUGCCAGCCCCUGGCACCCUGGCAGCAGUGGUUCCUCCCAGAUUUUGUCCCAACGUCACUCCAAGUGUUGUGGCCCUGUCCAAAGCACUGGGCAGAAGCUGCUGGGGGAGCUGGGGAGAGCCACCAAGCCCUGGGCUCAUUCCCUUCUCCACCUCCUCUGGCAGCAGGGAAUCCUGGAAUGGUUUGGGUUGGAAGGGCCCUGGAACCUCAUCCCAUCCCAAACCCCUGCCAGGGAGGGCUCAUCCACAGUCCCUGCAGGUCUGGGGUGGGGAGGUGGCCCUGGACACCCUGGGAUUGUCCCCACACCUCCCAAACUCACGUGCAUCCCCCUGGGACAAUCAGGACACUGCAGGUCCCUCUCUGCUGCCCUCCCCUCGCUGUCCCCAGCUUGGUGACACGCAGGACAAGGGCUCUGCAUGAGGAGCACAUUGUGGUGGCCCUGAACACCCUGGGAUUGUCCCCACACCUCCAAAACCCACGUGCAUCCCCCUGGGACAAUCAGGACACUGCAGGUGUCCCUGGGACAAUCAAGACACUUCAGGUGUCCCUGGGAUAGUCAGGACACUGCAGGUCCCUGGGUGCUGCCCUCCCCUCGCUGUCCCCAGCCUGGUGACAAAGCAGGACGAGGGCUCCGCAUGAGGAGCACGCUGUGGUGGCCCUGUGCUCCCAAACCCUUGGGAACCCAGAGUCCUUGGGCAUCCCAGCAUGGGGACACCGAGAUCACAGUGUCCCCAGCUGAACCCACCUGGAGUGAUUCCAGCACCAGGAAAGCUCAGCAGCCCCAAAGCUGAACCUCUCCCAAGGCACUGACACUGCCAGGCAGAGCGAGGCUGGGAUCCCUCCUGGGGCAGCCCCAGAGCUGGGAGCUCCUGGUCCCUGCCCUUGUGGUGGGAGCAAUGGGAAUGUCACAUGUGGGAAUGUCACAUGGGAAUGUCACAUGUGGGACCAUUCCAUAUGGGAAUGUUAUAUGUGGGAAUGUCCCACGUGGGACUGUCACAUGUGGGAAUGUCCCCUGUGGGCAUGUCCCACACAGGAAUGCCCCAUGGGAAUGUCCCACAUGGGAAUGUCACGUGGGAAUGUCCUACAUGGGAAUGUCACUAUGAGAAUGCCCCACGUGGAAAUGCCUCACAUGGGAAUGUCCCACAUGGGAAUGUUCCACAUGGGAAUGUUCCACACAGGAAUGGCCCACAGGGGAAUACCCCACAUGGGACUUUCCCGUAUGGGAAUGUCACAUGGGAAUGUCCCACAUGGGAAUGCCAUAUAGGAAUGUCCCACAUGGAAAUACCACAUGGAAAUGCCCCACACAGGAAUGUCCUACAUGGGAAUGUCCCUCAUGGGAAUGCCACAUGGAAAUGCCCCACACAGGAAUGUCCCUCUUGGGCAUGCCACAUGGGAAUGCCACAUGGGAAUGUCCUACAUGGAAAUGCCCCUUGUGGGAAUGCCCCAUGUGGGAAUGCCCCUCAUGGAAAUGCCACAUAGGAAUGUCCCAUGUGAGAAUGUCCCAUAUGGAAAUGCCCCACUUGGGAUGUCCCACCUGGGAAUGUCCCAUGAGGGACUGUCCCAUGAGGGAAUGUCCCACGAGGGAAUGUCCCCCUCAGCCCUUCCAGCAGCUCUGGGGCCGGGACACAGGCCAGGCCACGGCUCCACGUGUGUUUUGGUUGUCAGGCCAGCGAGCGGUGCCAGGCAGCUCCCCGGCCCAGCCAAUGGCACCACUCUGCACGUUCAUUUAAUCACUAAUUAAUCUCCUCAUGCACAGAGCAGAGCCCUGUGUUCGGGAAGGACCCCGAGUGCUGCAUUCCCGGUUUGCUGUAAUUAGGAACGAGGGAGGGACUGGGCAGCACCGCUCACAUCGAGCCCUUCCCUCGGCACAGAACAAUAACGAGACCGUCGGCUCCUGGAGCAUCUAAUUAGAAAUGGCGCACUUAAUUGAUUUCUUGGCAAUGUUAAUUAAGGAAUAACGAGGACCAGGUUGCAGCACGAGGUGCCAGUGAGAAGUUUUGAGUGUCUCUCUGGAGGAUGGGUCUGGUGGCUGCUCCUGGGACAGCCAGGGGACAAGCCCAGGGUGGUGUCACCCAUGUCCCAAUGGGUGUCCCAAUUCCAGCCUGGGCACAGCUCAUCUCCUUCCAUUUUCCCUUGUUCCUCCUUUUCCUGCCCCCUCCCUGGGCUGUGCCAGGUCCUGGCAGGAUGGCAGGAGGUCCCUGUGGGGUCACCUGGCCAAUGCUGGACGCUGCCACCCGGGGACAGGAGAUGCUGGGACAUCCCUGGCAAUGCCACCUGCCCCAGGGAUGGGCUGUCCCCUCCUCUUGGAGGGCUGGGAUGGAGAUCCAGAGUCUGGGAUGGCCUUGGGAGGAGCGUGGAGGGUCCCAGGGUGUGUGAGACCCCCCUGGGCCGAGCUCUGGGUACAGAUCAAUCCCCUAGGAUGCUCUGAGGACAUUCUCAGGCUGGGAUGUGGAGUCCUGGUGCUGGUGGCUGUCCCCAGCUCUGGGUGUGUCCCCAGGUCCCUUUAGGAAACACCACUUUGGGCUUUUUACUGGUUUUUAUGGCUUAUUCCACACUGGGCGUCCACUCACCCUUGGGUCUGAGCACACGCUGACAGCGAAUCCCCCGGGAAUGACGAGAGGGCAGCUGCCAGCAACACGUCUUCCAGCGGGGUGGGCACCCUGGACACCCAGGGACACCCCCAGGACACCCCUGGGACACCUUUGGGACACCCUGGGACACUGAGACACCCUCAGGACACCCCGGGGACACCCUGGGACACCCCCAGGACACCCAGGUACACCCCUGGGACACCUUUGGGACAUCCUGGGGCACUGAGACACCCUCAGGACACCCCGGGGACACCCUGGGACACCCCCAGGACACCCUGAGACACCCUGGGGACACCCCUGGGACACCCCCAGGACACCUUUGGGACACCCUGAACAAUCCUGGGACAUCCUGGGGCACUGAGACACCCUCAGGAUACCCCGGGACACCCCGGGGACACCCAGGGACAGCCUGGGGACACCCUGGAAUGCCCAAGAACACCUUGGGACACCUCAGAACUCCCGGGGACACCCCUGGGACACCCCUAGAUGUAUCCCAGACACCCUGAGACACCCCUGGGACACUCCAGGGAUACCCUGGGACACUACCAGAACACCUCUGAGACACCCUGGGACACCCCCAGGACACCCCUGGGAAACCCGUGGGACACAUCCCAGACACCCUGAGACACCCUGGGGACACCCCGGGACACCUCUGGGAUACCCAGGGACAUCCUGAGACACCUUUGGGACACCCUGGGACACCCCUGGGACACCCUGGGACACCCCCAGGGACACCCCGGGACCCCCCCGGCUCUGUCUGUUUUUAACCCCUGCGUCGCCAGCGCCCGCGAGUCCCCGUGUCACCCCUGGAUUGUCACAAUAAAAGAGGUCACACACUG